GAUGAAGAACGUAGCAAAAUGCGAUAAGUAAUGUGAAUUGCAGAAUUCAGUGAAUCAUCGAAUCUUUGAACGCACAUUGCGCCCGCCAGUAUUCUGGCGGGCAUGCCUGUUCGAGCGUCAUUUCAACCCUCAAGCCCUCGGGUUUGGUGUUGGGGAUCGGCGAGCCUUUCUGGCAAGCCGGCCCCGAAAUCUAGUGGCGGUCUCGCUGCAGCCUCCAUUGCGUAGUAGUAAAACCCUCGCAACUGGAACGCGGCGCGGCCAAGCCGUUAAACCCCCAACUUCUGAAUGUUGACCUCGGAUCAGGAAGGAAUACCCGCUGAACUUAAGCAUAUCAAUAAGCGGAGGA
rnacentral:misc_RNA from 1 species